GACGAACGCUGGCGGCAUGCCUAAUACAUGCAAGUCGAGCGAACAGAUGAAGUGCUUGCACUUCUGACGUUAGCGGCGAACGGGUGAGUAACACGUAAGGAAUCUACCUAUAAGCGGGGGAUAACAUUCGGAAACGGGUGCUAAUACCGCAUAAUAUCUUCUUCCGCAUGGAAGAAGAUUGAAAGACGGCUCUGCUGUCACUUAUAGAUGACCUUGCGGUGCAUUAGUUAGUUGGUGGGGUAACGGCCUACCAAGACGAUGAUGCAUAGCCGACCUGAGAGGGUGAUAGGCCACAUUGGGACUGAGACACGGCCCAAACUCCUACGGGAGGCAGCAGUAGGGAACCUUCCGCAAUGGGCGAAAGCCUGACGGAGCAAUGCCGCGUGAGUGAAGAAGGCCUUCGGGUCGUAAAACUCUGUUAUAAGAGAAGAACAAAUUGUAGAGUAACUGCUACAGUCUUGACGGUAUCUUAUCAGAAAGCCACGGCUAACUACGUGCCAGCCGCCGCUGUAA
rnacentral:rRNA from 1 species